GAUAAACGCUGGCGGCGUGCCUAAUACAUGCAAGUCGAGCGAACGGACGAGAAGCUUGCUUCUCUGAUGUUAGCGGCGGACGGGUGAGUAACACAUGGAUAACCUACCUAUAAGACUGGGAUAACUUCGGGAAACCGGAGCUAAUACCGGAUAAUAUUUUGAACCGCAUGGUUCAAAAGUGAAAGACGGUCUUGCUGUCACUUAUAGAUGGAUCCGCGCUGCAUUAGCUAGUUGGUAAGGUAACGGCUUACCAAGGCAACGAUGCAUAGCCGACCUGAGAGGGUGAUCGGCCACACUGGAACUGAGACACGGUCCAGACUCCUACGGGAGGCAGCAGUAGGGAAUCUUCCGCAAAGGGCGAAAGCCUGACGGAGCAACGCCGCGUGAGUGAUGAAGGUCUUCGGAUCGUAAAACUCUGUUAUUAGGGAAGAACAUAUGUGUAAGUAACUGUGCACAUCUUGACGGUACCUAAUCAGAAAGCCACGGCUAACUACGUG
rnacentral:rRNA from 1 species